UACGAAGGGGGCUAGCGUUGUUCGGAAUUACUGGGCGUAAAGCGCGCGCAGGCGGCUAUCCAAGUCAGUGGUGAAAGCCCGGAGCUCAACUCCGGAACUGCCAUUGAAACUGUUUAGCUUGAGGAUGAGAGAGGUGAGUGGAAUUCCCGGUGUAGAGGUGAAAUUCGUAGAUAUCGGGAGGAACACCAGUGGCGAAGGCGGCGAUCUGGGAAGAUACUGACGCUGAGGUGCGAAAGCGUGGGGAGCAAACAGGG
rnacentral:rRNA from 1 species